GGUAAUACGUAGGGCGCAAGCGUUAUCCGGAAUUAUUGGGCGUAAAGAGCUCGUAGGCGGUUUGUCGCGUCUGCCGUGAAAGUCCGGGGCUCAACUCCGGAUCUGCGGUGGGUACGGGCAGACUAGAGUGAUGUAGGGGAGACUGGAAUUCCUGGUGUAGCGGUGAAAUGCGCAGAUAUCAGGAGGAACACCGAUGGCGAAGGCAGGUCUCUGGGCAUUAACUGACGCUGAGGAGCGAAAGCAUGGGGAGCGAACAGGAUUAGAUACCCUGGUAGUCCAUGCCGUAAACGUUGGGCACUAGGUGUGGGGGACAUUCCACGUUUUCCGCGCCGUAGCUAACGCAUUAAGUGCCCCGCCUGGGGAGUACGGCCGCAAGGCUAAAACUCAAAGGAAUUGACGGGGGCCCGCACAAGCGGCGGAGCAUGCGGAUUAAUUCGAUGCAACGCGAAGAACCUUACCAAGGCUUGACAUGGGCCGGAUCGCCGCAGAAAUGUGGUUUCCCCUUUGGGGCCGGUUCACAGGUGGUGCAUGGUUGUCGUCAGCUCGUGUCGUGAGAUGUUGGGUUAAGUCCCGCAACGAGCGCAACCCUCGUUCUAUGUUGCCAGCGCGUUAUGGCGGGGACUCAUAGGAGACUGCCGGGGUCAACUCGGAGGAAGGUGGGGACGACGUCAAAUCAUCAUGCCCCUUAUGUCUUGGGCUUCACGCAUGCUACAAUGGCCGGUACAAAGGGUUGCGAUACUGUGAGGUGGAGCUAAUCCCAAAAAGCCGGUCUCAGUUCGGAUUGGGGUCUGCAACUCGACCCCAUGAAGUCGGAGUCGCUAGUAAUCGCAGAUCAGCAACGCUGCGGUGAAUACGUUCCCGGGCCUUGUACACACCGCCCGUCAAGUCACGAAAGUU
rnacentral:rRNA from 1 species